GUAUUUUAAAGUAGCUCAAUUUGGUCCUUAUUUAUGAAAAAAAAAAUGAAAUAAUAUAGUCCCUGCCGUUAAAUUUUGUGAACGCGUCAAAAUUGUUGUCUGGUGGCUAACUGAGGUGGCAUUUCAUUUGAAAAGUAGGUGGCACAAGUCAUCCCUUCCUCACCCAAAAUUAGGGUUUGCUAGAUUGGGGAAAAAGAACUUGCGCCGUUAGGGAGUCUCUGCGCGAGAGAAGGAAUUCCGCUAAUGGAGAUAAGGUGCGAGGCAGAAGCUCGUGGUGGUGGCCUCUUGCGGAUGGUGAUUCAGAGUUCGAAGGGUUUCUUCGAAUUGGGUCUCUGUGUGUGUGAUGGUUGUUGGUCCUCUGGUUUUUCUGAGUGCAGGUGGUGAGGAUGGCGGCACGAAGCGUCAAUGGAAGAUGGCCAUGGUUGCGCGUGAAUGAAGAAGCGGCGCUGCUCAUGGUGGUGGUCCGAUGCGAGCUUGGAGGAUGACGAGUUGUUGAUGGUGACCUCGCAAUGAUGGUCUACGUGAGUAAGGCUCGAAGCUUGCGCGAUUUUGGGUCGUGGUGGCGAAGUGAUGUGGCGGCGCUGUGGUGGUUUUGCUGGAGAAGAUGAAGGUGGGAGAUGGUGGUUCUGCGACAGCAGCUUGGGCGUUGAUGAUGCAUUUGAGGACGACUGCUGACGAGGAUGACGAUGACGGCGCUUUGGGCUGCCAUGGUUGCUGAAUGAAGAAGCUUGUGUGUUGAUGGUGAUGAGCGUGGUAGUCGUAGCGGCUAGGGUUUUGUUUCUGCGAUUCUGUGUGCAGGUUGGGGUGGCUCUACGACGGCGGCUUGGUGGUAGUACGGUUUAAGUGUGGCGGUGUAGGAAUUGUAAAAUGUCACGUGCUUUUCAAAUGCCACCGCACCUAGCGAUCUGGCAACAAUUUUGAUGCUGUCCACAGAAUUUAACGGCAGGGAUUGUAUUGCUUCAAUUUUU